UACAGAGGGUGCAAGCGUUAAUCGGAAUUACUGGGCGUAAAGCGUGCGCAGGCGGUUCGUUGUGUCGGCGGUGAAAGCCCCGGGCUUAACCUGGGAAUGGCCGUCGAAACUGGCGAACUGGAGUGUGGCAGAGGGGGGUGGAAUUCCGCGUGUAGCAGUGAAAUGCGUAGAGGUGCGGAGGAACACCGAUGGCGAAGGCAGCCCCCUGGGCUGACACUGACGCUCAGGCACGAAAGCGUGGGGAGCAAACAGG
rnacentral:rRNA from 1 species